UCUAGAUUUCUCUUCAUUUCUCUUCAAUUCCAGCAGCUAAAAACGCCAUAGGAGGGUUCUCUAAGCUGGUAUUUCAUAAUUUUUGCACCAAUGUUAAGAGCUCGGAGGUCGGAUUUGGUCAGAGACACAUCACACUGUCAACCUCAGGAUUUCGGUAUAUAAAGAAACUUUAUUUUGGAAAUCAGUGGCAUGUAUAAGCUAACAAAGUAAAUGUUAACGUGAAAUGAAUGUAAAGUUAGCCAUUAGUAUGGUUAACAAACCUGGUUAUAGAUAUGUGAUGACGUUAUCUUAUAUAAAUGCAUGAAUCUAUCAUGAAAAUA